UUUUUCUUUUUUUAAAUUGGAGAAAUUACAGCUAUCAAGAAGUAUUUAAUUGUAAGUAAGUAAUCUUGAGAAUAAUCCCUGAAGGAUUCUAUUUAACAUGCAAUGUGGUGUGCCACUGGGAACAGGGGCCGUAUAUAUUUGGCAAAGGAAGUCACAUAGGUCAUAGGAUCCCAAAUAAAAGUCCAAAGACAGAAAGUGUUUUGCAAUUGGUUGCAGAGGUAAAACAGCACAUUGGUAAAGCAGAACUAAACCUCCCCUAGGAUUUCCAAACCCUAGCACUCUAUAUAUCUCACAGUGGAAAGAGCAGAUACGAAAUACCUCAUAUCAUAUACAUCACCGUGGACAGAGCAGCGAUUCUAUGCAAAAAAUAGGUGUAUGGCCAGAAAAUGUAUUUAUGAACUUUCAAAUCAUGUAAUGUAUGCAUAACACAUGUUCUAAUUCUCCCCUUUACCCCAACCUAAAACUAUGCCUCACAUAAUUCAGACUCAUUCUAUCCUGAGUCAAAGCCCAUUUCUUUUUUUUUUUUUUUUUUUGAAUGCAGAUAAUUUCUGAAGUUCUUUUACUCUAUCUGACAAGCAGCAUCUCCCUGAUAUUACCAGCUUUCCAAUGCCUCAUAUUCAUGUUGCUGGGAUAAAUCAUGUAGGAUAAGGCAUUUUCAAAUGCAACAAUCUAUUAACUGAGCUAGAGAGCUUGACUUCUAAAAGAUACAAUCCCAGCUCUCUAAAUUCUAUGCCACUCCUGGCAGAAAUGUGGCAAAUACGGCUUUGUAGAUUUCUGUGGGCAGCUUCCAUUGAAGAGAUUAAACCAAACAGUAGCUGCUAAUAUAGAAUAUAAGGAACUUGCAUGUCAUUUUAAGGACUUUAAGCAAUAGAAUCUUGAUAUAGUUGAACUUUUAAAAAUGAACACCAUUACAACAAUGA
rnacentral:lncRNA from 1 species